CGGCGCGCUUAACACAUGCAAGUCGAACGAGAAAGGGCUUCGGCCCCGGUACAGUGGCGCACGGGUGAGUAACACGUAGGUAACCUGCCCUUGAGUGGUGGAUAACAUUCCGAAAAGGAGUGCUAAUACAGCAUAAGACCACGGUUCCAUCAAGGAACAGGGGUCAAAGCGGGCCUCUUCAUGAAAGCUCGCGCUUGGGGAUGGGCCUGCGGCGCAUCAGCUAGUUGGUGAGGUAAUGGCUCACCAAGGCUAAGACGCGUAGCUGGUCUGAGAGGAUGAUCAGCCACACUGGGACUGAGACACGGUCCAGACUCCUACGGGAGGCAGCAGUGGGGAAUUUUGCGCAAUGGGCGAAAGCCUGACGCAGCGACGCCGCGUGGGUGAUGAAGGCCCUCGGGUUGUAAAGCCCUGUGGGGAGGGAUGAAUAAGGUAUGGCUAAUACCUAUACUGAUGACAGUACCUCCUUAGCAAGCACCGGCUAACUCUGUG
rnacentral:rRNA from 1 species